AGAGUUUGAUCCUGGCUCAGAGCGAACGCUGGCGGCAUGCUUAACACAUGCAAGUCGCACGGGCAGCUUCGGCUGUCAGUGGCGGACGGGUGAGUAACGCGUAGGUAUCUAUCCUCGGGUGGGGGACAACCACGGGAAACUGUGGCUAAUACCGCAUGAUGACUGAGGUCCAAAGGCGCAAGUCGCCUGGGGAGGAGCCU
rnacentral:rRNA from 1 species